rnacentral:rRNA from 1 species
GUACACUCCUGCGGGAGGCAGCAGUGGGGAAUAUUGCACAAUGGGCGCAAGCCUGAUGCAGCCAUGCCGCGUGUAUGAAGAAGGCCUUCGGGUUGUAAAGUACUUUCAGCGGGGAGGAAGGCGAUAAGGUUAAUAACCUUGUCGAUUGACGUUACCCGCAGAAGAAGCACCGGCUAACUCCGUGCCAGCAGCCGCGGUAAUACGGAGGGUGCAAGCGUUAAUCGGAAUUACUGGGCGUAAAGCGCACGCAGGCGGUCUGUCAAGUCGGAUGUGAAAUCCCCGGGCUCAACCUGGGAACUGCAUUCGAAACUGGCAGGCUAGAGUCUUGUAGAGGGGGGUAGAAUUCCAGGUGUAGCGGUGAAAUGCGUAGAGAUCUGGAGGAAUACCGGUGGCGAAGGCGGCCCCCUGGACAAAGACUGACGCUCAGGUGCGAAAGCGUGGGGAGCAAACAGGAUUAGAAACCCUAGUAGUCC